GCGAAAAUAGCUCAGUUGGUAGAUCACGACGUUGCCCAGGUCGGGGUCGCGGGUUCGAGUCCCGUUUUUCGCU
rnacentral:tRNA from 1 species